rnacentral:rRNA from 1 species
AUUGAACGCUGGCGGAAUGCUUUACACAUGCAAGUCGAACGGCAGCACGGACUUCGGUCUGGUGGCGAGUGGCGAACGGGUGAGUAAUACAUCGGAACGUGCCCAGUCGUGGGGGAUAACGUAGCGAAAGCUACGCUAAUACCGCAUACGAUCUAAGGAUGAAAGCGGGGGAUCGCCAGACCUCGCGCGAUUGGAGCGGCCGAUGGCAGAUUAGGUACAGGUGUUGGCAGGGUAAAGGCCUACCAAGCCGACGCUCUGUAGCUGGUCUGAGAGGAUGGGCAGCCGCACGGGGCCUGAGACGCGGCCGAGACUCCUGCGGGGGGCAGCAGGGGGGACUUUUGGACAAUGGGCGCGAGCGUGAUCCAGCCAUUCCGCGUGCAGGAUGAAGGCAUUCGGGUUGUAGACUGCUUUUGUACAGAACGAAAAGGCUCUGGUUAAUACCCGGGGCUCAUGACGGUACUGUAAGAAUAAGCACCGGCUAACUACGUGCCAGCCGCCGCCGUAA